AAAUGCAUGGGCUUCGACCACGGCAACUUCUGCUAAGGUCAAUUCUGACGGGCAGUAUCAGUCACUAGAAUUACCAGCUCGUUAUUUUUUAUUAGUGAAUUCUUUAAAAGACAAGUUGAGAUUUUCAAGUUUAGUUAAGUUCGAGGGGGUUACGUGCAUGCGUCGAAUGACUUUUGCAAUCUAUUUUUAUGAAAGUUGAAUAACGUUUUCUCUAUGCUAUUGACGUAGUUGUGACCACUGUUGUUUUCCGGAACAAAAGACGAAACAUCUCGCCGAUGGUGAGCAUUCCUUGCUUUUAGCAUUCACUGAGUGUUUUCUCUUUCCUUCACAAUAAACGCAAGGUGUUUCAGGCUUACUAGCAUCUGCAGAUUGAUUUUGCUAAGCUUAAAAUAAAUACCGAAAUGCAGCACAUUGUUCACUUCUUUAUAGCAUGUUUACGCCUGAUUUCCAACGCUGAAUCAAACUACGAGAUGCCUCAAUAUUACCACCAAGUCGAAAUGGCUUUUCAAUUGACUAACAGGCUUCUCAUUGGUCGAUCGAUCUGCAAAGAAUUAACAAAAAGCCGACGCGUUCCGUAUGAGUGUAGGAAUGAGCGCGUUGUUUUCGAUUAUAUCUGCUUCUGGGUACAUUCCGCAAAUUCACUACUCGAGGGUAGUUUGUUUGUUACACAUUAAUUUCCUCUUAGUUCAUGUUAAGCUCGCCCCAGCUAUUGUCAGUGUGAGGUAAAUGCCAGCCGAUAGCAUUUUAAUUGCUUCAGCUAUUAAUGUGAUGGAUAAUUUUUAUUUUGGCAACGUGCAGUCCUUCUUGUUUGUAAGAAUAAAAGAGCUUUGAUGGUUUCCUAUAGUUUGAAUAGAUUGUUUUUUUUCCCAAAAUUCCUUAACAGCUCUCUGAAAACCUCAGCAAUAUGGCUACACUAGGAUAAGGAAAACCAUUUAUUGUCAAGUGCACGCCGAUAGAACUUGUUGUAAUCUGCUGAAAUGCAAGUCGGCACAAAGAAACCACUGGUCGAGAAAUAAACGUAUAUGGUUGGGAUAGCCAUUGAGUGAUGUUACCGGUGCGUACGUUACACAGAUGCUCGC